AAUAAAUUUAAACGCAAACAAUAAUAGAGUUGCUUUAGCUGCUUAAUUGCAGUAACUUAUCUUACACAAGCCUUUCUCACUUGACGCUUUAGAUAAGUUUAAACCAUUCAAGUGAAACGUUACUAGUCACCUCGGGCUAGUUAAUGUAAAAAGAGGAAACUGAUAAUGGAAUUUGAUACUUUGUAGUUAUCAGUUAAAAAAAGUAUCUACACUCGUAGAAGCCUCAACGGUGUUUUUUUUGGACACGGGUUCAAUUCCCGUCAUCUCCACCA
rnacentral:tmRNA from 1 species